ensembl:antisense Sox5os3 SRY (sex determining region Y)-box 5, opposite strand 3
GUAAGCAGAGGUUCAGAGUCUCUUCCCCAGAGCCCGUGCUAAGAAGACAAGCAGCACGUGUGAUGCUGUGUGCUGUGAAGCCAGCACAGGCAUGGCAGGCAGUUGGCUGGUCAGGGGCUUCUGCAGGGAGAGGCGAUUGUUGCCAAACUGGACAACACAAGCUCACUUUCCAGGGCCUGUGUGAUCGAAGGAGGUGACUGACAUGUGCAAACUUCCUCUAACUCUUUCUGUCUCUAGGUACAGUGUGCAGUUUGCGUGUGCUUCUCUUGAAUUCUCUUCAAGCAAGGAACUGUGGCACCACAGCCUACUGAGUGAGAUCACAAAGGCAGAGAGAGAGACUUUCUGUUGACCUUAACAGCAGUGGCCUGUCAAGCCAUCCCAAUGAGAUGAAUUUGAACUCUGAUGCUGUCAGUUACUCAUUGCUAACUCACUCCAACCUGGCAAGCUCUUCAAAUGUAACCGUCAUCUUCCAGCAAGGGGCUCACCCAGUAAGUGGGGAUGUAUCACAGCCAAAGGCACAACGCUCUGGCAAGAUCCUCGAAGUUUCCAUUUCUACUGUCAAUCUAAUCCAUGUCACCAGAUUUCUUUGGCUUUAAUGUCAUGGCUUUCAGUAUCAUUGACCCAAAAGCUUGCUAAUAUCUAAAAUCAGCGUAUCGAAUGUAUCCAUCUCAUCAUCCAGAAAUGUUUAAACAAAUGAGAGGGGUGUGUGACUUGAAGAUAGCUGGUAUGAAAGCAGAAGUGGGAACGAUCUGAGGGAUGAGAGGAAGUGGGCAGAGGAGAAAUGGGAGGGUUGUGACUCAUGUAUAUGCAAAUGCCAUCAUGAAACCCAUUGUGUGUAUGCUGACUAAAAGAUCAACUUACAGCAUGUUUUAAUAUGAAAAAUAAAAGGAAUGGGGGUUGAAAGAC